GACGAACGCUGGCGGCGUGCUUAGCACAUGCAAGUCGAACGGUGAAGGGGUCUGCUUUUGUGGGCCCUGGUUGCGUGGCGCACGGGUGAGUAACACGCGAGUAACCUGCCCCCUUCUUCUGGAUAACCGCAUGAAAGUGUGGCUAAUACGGGAUAUUCUGGGUCUGUCGCAUGUUGGGUCUGGGAAAGAUGGCGCCUUUGGGUGUUUUUGGUGGGGGAUGGGCUCGCGGCCUAUCAGCUUGUUGGUGGGGUGAUGGCCUACCAAGGCGGGGACGGGUAGCGGGUCUGAGAGGGUGGACGGUCACACUGGGACUGAGACACGGCCCAGACUCCUACGGGAGGCAGCAGUGAGGAAUAUUGCUCAAUGGGCGCAAGCCUGAUGCAGCGACGCCGCGUGAAGGAUGGAGGCCUUCGGGGUGUUAACCUCUUUCGACAGGGAAGCAGGCCUGCUCCUUGUGGGUGGGUUGAAGGUAGCUGGAUAAGAAGCGCCGGCUAACUCCGUG
rnacentral:rRNA from 1 species